AACGCUAGCUACAGGCUUAACACAUGCAAGUCGAGGGGCAGCAUGAACUUAGCUUGCUAAGUUUGAUGGCGACCGGCGCACGGGUGAGUAACGCGUAUCCAACCUUCCGUACACUCAGGAAUAGCCUUUCGAAAGAAAGAUUAAUACCUGAUGGUAUGAUGAGAUUGCAUGAAAUCAUCAUUAAAGAUUCAUCGGUGUACGAUGGGGAUGCGUUCCAUUAGAUAGUAGGCGGGGUAACGGCCCACCUAGUCGACGAUGGAUAGGGGUUCUGAGAGGAAGGUCCCCCACAUUGGAACUGAGACACGGUCCAAACUCCUACGGGAGGCAGCAGUGAGGAAUAUUGGUCAAUGGGCGCGAGCCUGAACCAGCCAAGUAGCGUGAAGGAUGAAGGUCCUACGGAUUGUAAACUUCUUUUAUAAGGGAAUAAAGUCACCCACGUGUGGGUGUUUGUAUGUACCUUAUGAAUAAGCAUCGGCUAACUCCGUGCCAGCAGCCGCGGUAAUACGGAGGAUGCGAGCGUUAUCCGGAUUUAUUGGGUUUAAAGGGAGCGUAGACGGGUCGUUAAGUCAGCUGUGAAAGUUUGAGGCUCAACCUUAAAAUUGCAGUUGAUACUGGCGUCCUUGAGUACGGUUGAGGCAGGCGGAAUUCGUGGUGUAGCGGUGAAAUGCAUAGAUAUCACGAAGAACUCCGAUUG
rnacentral:rRNA from 1 species